UAAGCAGGCUGUUAAUAGAUUUCUCAUAUCAUGGCUUAGUAAGUUAUGAAUCGUAUGUGAAAUUUUUCCAAGUAAUUGAGAGCCAGUUUUUCAAACUGGGAUUUCUUUAUUCGAAUUUCAAUUAAUAUUGAUAGUAUAUCUAUAUAUAUAUGAUAAAUAUACUAUAAAUUAUAAGUGAUAUAACAGCAAUAAUAACUUAAACUCAGACUUAAGAAAAUCCGGUUUGAAAAACUGGCUCUGGAAGUCCUCAAUAAACUUAGUUUACUUAUAUGGGUAAGCUUAAAAGUUUACUCAGGACUAAUUUUGACUGAACGUACCAAUAGUGAAGGACUCUGUUGUUCAACUAUUUCUUUACUCAAUUAAGUUGAGAUUAUUCUUGUUGAUAGUACGUGUAAUAAAAUAGUUCGUAUCAUAUUCAUUACAAAAUUCAAUAAUUUUGUUACAAGAACUCUUUAGAAUGGUAUUAAAGCCACAAAAUAAAAUGUCUAACGAUUCUGCAAGGCUGAAACAAAUUUAUGAGGAGGCACAGUUUUACCAUAAAGAUUAUCAGACUCGAGGAACCUUAAAAUCUCAUUAUUUCAUUUUAUGCGAUUAUAAUGGAUAUUCUGGGGAAGAAGUCAAGGAACCGGUCAGUAAAAGAUCGAAAAAUGAAUAAUUAAUUAAAGCUAUGUUUUGGUUUCUGUUCAGUGCUUUGUCAAAUUUAAU